UUGCUCAUCCAUACCAGCCACAUGCUUAUUUCAUCUGUUUUCAACCACGUAUCAUGCCAAUUUCACCAUAUUUAUUUCAGCCUUCACGUUUCAUUUUCUGGAAUUUUUCCAAACAUCUGUACAAAUUCAAACAAUCAAUCCUUGAUACUUUACUCCGUUUCCUUUCAUCUGCAAAGCUUCAAAUGGUGCGGCGCGACUAGGACGUUACUUUUGAUUGAAUUAUUCAAGAUAACUUUCAAGUCGAAGUUCAAGUUACAGGUUUUAAAGGUCGGAGGCACGUGGAAGGUCGAAUGGCGAAUCAAAUAUUUUGUAUUUAGCUUUAACUAAAGAUGUUAUUUUGAGUAAUAUAUUUUAAAUAAAAAUUUAUUUCAUGAUUUUCACAUUAAAUAUUUAUUUAUAGUCA